CAGUCGCCGCGGGAAUACAGAGGGUGCAAGCGUUAAUCGGAAUUACUGGGCGUAAAGCGCGCGUAGGUGGUUUGUUAAGUUGGAUGUGAAAGCCCCGGGCUAAACCUGGGAACUGCAUCCAAAACUGGCAAGCUAGAGUACGGUAGAGGGUGGUGGAAUUUCCUGUGUAGCGGUGAAAUGCGUAGAUAUAGGAAGGAACACCAGUGGCGAAGGCGACCACCUGGACUGAUACUGACACUGAGGUGCGAAAGCGUGGGGAGCAAACAGGAUUAGAGACCCCCGUAGUCCCUGUCUCUUAUAC
rnacentral:rRNA from 1 species